rnacentral:rRNA from 1 species
UAGUGAGUUUGAUCCUGGCUCAGGAUAGAACGCUGGCGGUCUGCGUUAACGACAUGCAAGUCGAACGCAAGUAGAAAUACUUGAGUGGCGGACGGGUGAGUAACGCGUGAGAAUCUGCCUUCUGGUCGGGGACAACCACUGGAAACGGUGGCUAAUACCGGAUAUGCCUAUGGGUGAAAGAUUAAUUGCCAGAAGAAGAGCUCGCGUCUGAUUAGCUAGUUGGAGAGGUAAAGGCUCACCAAGGCAUCGAUCAGUAGCUGGUCUGAGAGGACGAUCAGCCACACUGGGACUGAGACACGGCCAGACUCCUACGGGAGCAGCAGUGGGGAAUUUCCGCAAUGGGCGAAGCCUGACGGAGCAAGACCGCGUGAGGGA